ensembl:lncRNA
GCCAGAGCAGCUGGGCCGGCCGUGCGGGCCAGGCUCCUGAUCCAGCGCCUCCCACGCCAGGCCGGCGGAGCAACCACACCAGGGCCUCUCGGGGCAAGUCUGUCAAAUACCACUGCCCGGAGAAUAUGCUGAUUGUCCCCCAAAGGCUCGUCCUGGCCCCUGAUCAGCCCGUGGGCGUCCAUGCCGCCUGCAGGCUCAGCACAGAGAAGAGGCCCGGCGGGUGCCUCUGUCAGAAGCCGCCGCACCGUCCGCAGGAGCACAGCCAAGGGGCUGCGGUGGCCGGCAGGCACUGGCUGCCCAGACUGGUGCCACCAGUAUCAUCUGGAAGGUUCCUGCUGCGGUGACGUGUGACUCGCGGGCUCACCAAGUGAGGAAACUGGCCCGGCUCCAGGCAAAGCUAAAACUCCCCGAACUAACAAACCGACCGCAGCAGCAGGACUUGCAAAGGCCGCUGAAAAUAAAGUCCUUGGCCUUCUUGCUGCGCUGUGGAUUCAGACCGGCAAAGCACAGGCGCGCUUCCAAGGAGUGUUUGAUGCAAGGAUAAAUGGUGGUUCCAGGAGCCUGUCCCUCCAGCAUCCCGGCCUGAGGAAGCUUCCAGUAGCGAAUGUGAUAGGCUGGCCAGUUCUGGUGGUCCAGUGACUAAGAAUCCGCCUGCCAACGCAGAGGACAGGAGGUCGAUCCCUGGCUCGGGAAGAUCCCGUAUACCUGCGCGGGGCAACUCAGUCCGUGCGCUGCACCCGCUGAAGCCUGCGCGCCUGCAGCCUGCUCGUGCUCUGCAAGAGAAGCCAGGCGGUGUGCCCCUCGCAGAGCUCCGAAACUGAGAGCCCGGCUCGCCGCCACUGGAGCCGGCCAGCGCGCGAGAAGGAAGACCGUGCGCGGCCGUAGAUGAGUAAGUACUUAAAAGAAUGCGAUAUGCAGACACGAGUUACAGGAAUCCAGCAUCUCUGGUGGCUGGCAUUGGCCAGCUCCUUCCGCCUUCUGUCAGCAGGGUGCGAAGAUGCGCCGCAAGACCCCAGAGCACCGCAUUUCACCUCCCAUAACCGGGUCAGCUCUUGCUGACCAGCGCCUCCUGACAACCUCCACGGAGAUGCCCUGAUGCCCUGUGCCCUCCCCGAGGCUCCUGGGGUCCCCAUCGCCCUUCCCGCCUCCCACUUCGGGGCUCUGCACGACCCAGAGCUCGGCUCCGCUCUCCCUCGGGUUUCGCCUGCAUGAUGGAAUUUCCUCUCCUUUGCAUUCCGUCAGCAAUUUGUUGAAUGUCUCCUGUGUGCCGUGUCCCAAGCAAAAGGGAAGACCGGUAUAUUCAUUUCCGGAAAAUGUCUUGUGUUACACAGGCCUACAUACUUCAGAUUUACCAAGUGCUACAUACAUCUGAAUUUCCUGAUGUUCAAGCUGGUUUUAGAAAAGGCAGAGGAACCAGAGAUCAAAUUGCCA